UAAGGAAUAUUGGUCAAUGGACGCAAGUCUGAACCAGCCAUGCCGCGUGAAGGAUUAAGGUCCUCUGGAUUGUAAACUUCUUUUAUCUGGGACGAAAAAAGGCGAUUCUUCGUCACUUGACGGUACCAGAUGAAUAAGCACCGGCUAACUCCGUGCCAGCAGCCGCGGUAAUACGGAGGGUGCAAGCGUUAUCCGGAUUCACUGGGUUUAAAGGGUGCGUAGGCGGGCAGGUAAGUCAGUGGUGAAAUCCUGGAGCUUAACCCCAGAACUGCCAUUGAUACUAUCUGUCUUGAAUAUUGUGGAGGUAAGCGGAAUAUGUCAUGUAGCGGUGAAAUGCUUAGAUAUGACAUAGAACACCUAUUGCGAAGGCAGCUUACUACGCAUAUAUUGACGCUGAGGCACGAAAAGCGUGGGGAUCAAACAGGAUUAGAUACCCUGGUAGUCCACGCCCUAAACGAUGGAUACUCGACAUACGCGAUACACUGUGUGUGUCUGAGCGAAAAGCAUUAAGUAUCCCCACCUGGGAAGUACGACCGCAAGGUUGAAACUC
rnacentral:rRNA from 1 species